rnacentral:rRNA from 1 species
GUGAGGAAUAUUGGUCAAUGGGCGAGAGCCUGAACCAGCCAAGUAGCGUGCAGGAUGACGGCCCUAUGGGUUGUAAACUGCUUUUAUAGGGGAAUAAAGUGAGCUACGUGUAGUUUUUUGCAUGUACCCUAUGAAUAAGGACCGGCUAAUUCCGUGCCAGCAGCCGCGGUAAUACGGAAGGUCCGGGCGUUAUCCGGAUUUAUUGGGUUUAAAGGGAGCGUAGGCCGGAGAUUAAGCGUGUUGUGAAAUGUAGAUGCUCAACAUCUGAACUGCAGCGCGAACUGGUUUCCUUGAGUACGCAUAAAGUGGGCGGAAUUCGUGGUGUAGCGGUGAAAUGCUUAGAUAUCACGAAGAACUCCGAUUGCGAAGGCAGCUCACUGGGGCGCAACUGACGCUGAAGCUCGAAAGCGCGGGUAUCGAACAGGAUUAGAAACCCCGGUAGUCC